rnacentral:rRNA from 1 species
GAGUUUGAUCGUGGCUCAGGAUGAACGCUGGCGGCGUGCCUAACACAUGCAAGUCGAACGAAGCACUUUCUUUAGAUUCUUCGGAUGAAGAAGACUGUGACUGAGUGGCGGACGGGUGAGUAACGCGUGGGCAACCUGCCCUGUACAGGGGGAUAACAGUUAGAAAUGACUGCUAAUACCGCAUAAGCGCACGAGGACGCAUGUUCUUGUGUGAAAAACUCCGGUGGUACAGGAUGGGCCCGCGUCUGAUUAGGUAGUUGGUGGGUAGCGGCCUACCAAGCCGACGAUCAGUA